rnacentral:rRNA from 1 species
AUUGAACGCUGGCGGCAUGCCUUACACAUGCAAGUCGAACGGUAACGGGUCCUUCGGGAUGCCGACGAGUGGCGAACGGGUGAGUAAUAUAUCGGAACGUGCCCAGUAGUGGGGGAUAACUGCUCGAAAGAGCAGCUAAUACCGCAUACGACCUGAGGGUGAAAGGGGGGGAUCGCAAGACCUCUCGCUAUUGGAGCGGCCGAUAUCAGAUUAGCUAGUUGGCGGGGUAAAGGCCUACCAAGGCAACGAUCUGUAGUUGGUCUGAGAGGGCGACCAGCCACACUGGGACUGAGACACGGCCCAGACUCCUACGGGAGGCAGCAGUGGGGAAUUUUGGACAAUGGGCGCAAGCCUGAUCCAGCAAUGCCGCGUGCAGGAAGAAGGCCUUCGGGUUGUAAACUGCUUUUGUCAGGGAAGAAAUCUUCUGGGCUAAUACCCCGGGAGGAUGACGGUACCUGAAGAAUAAGCACCGGCUAACUACGUGCCAGCAGCCGCGGUAAUACGUAGGGUGCGAGCGUUAAUCGGAAUUACUGGGCGUAAAGCGUGCGCAGGCGGCUUUGCAAGACAGAUGUGAAAUCCCCGGGCUCAACCUGGGAACUGCAUUUGUGACUGCAAGGCUAGAGUACGGCAGAGGGGGAUGGAAUUCCGCGUGUAGCAGUGAAAUGCGUAGAUAUGCGGAGGAACACCAAUGGCGAAGGCAAUCCCCUGGGCCUGUACUGACGCUCAUGCACGAAAGCGUGGGGAGCAAACAGG